rnacentral:rRNA from 1 species
AGAGUUUGAUCAUGGCUCAGAUUGAACGCUGGCGGCAGGCCUAACACAUGCAAGUCGAACGGUAACAGGAAGCAGCUUGCUGCUUCGCUGACGAGUGGCGGACGGGUGAGUAAUGUCUGGGAAACUGCCUGAUGGAGGGGGAUAACUACUGGAAACGGUAGCUAAUACCGCAUAAUGUCGCAGGACCAAAGAGGGGGACCUUCGGGCCUCUUGCCAUCAGAUGUGCCCAGAUGGGAUUAGCUUGUUGGUGAGGUAACGGCUCACCAAGGCGACGAUCCCUAGCUGGUCUGAGAGGAUGACCAGCCACACUGGAACUGAGACACGGUCCAGACUCCUACGGGAGGCAGCAGUGGGGAAUAUUGCACAAUGGGCGCAGCCUGAUGCAGCCAUGCCGCGUGUAUGAAGAAGGCCUUCGGGUUGUAAAGUACUUUCAGCGGGGAGGAAGGGGAUAAGGCUAAUAACCUUGUUCAUUGACGUUACCCGCAGAAGAAGCACCGGCUAACUCCGUGCCAGCAGCCGCGGUAAUACGGGAGGGUGCAAGCGUUAAUCGGAAUUACUGGGCGUAAAGCGCACGCAGGCGGUCUGUCAAGUCGGAUGUGAAAUCCCCGGGCUCAACCUGGGAACUGCAUUCGAAACUGGCAGGCUUGAGUCUUGUAGAGGGGGGUAGAAUUCCAGGUGUAGCGGUGAAAUGCGUAGAGAUCUGGAGGAAUACCGGUGGCGAAGGCGGCCCCCUGGACAAAGACUGACGCUCAGGUGCGAAAGCGUGGGGAGCAAACAGGAUUAGAUACCCUGGUAGUCCACGCCGUAAACGAUGUCUACUUGGAGGUUGUGCCCUUGAGGCGUGGCUUCCGGAGCUAACGCGUUAAGUAGACCGCCUGGGGAGUACGGCCGCAAGGUUAAAACUCAAAUGAAUUGACGGGGGCCCGCACAAGCGGUGGAGCAUGUGGUUUAAUUCGAUGCAACGCGAAGAACCUUACCUGGUCUUGACAUCCACAGAACUUUCCAGAGAUGGAUUGGUGCCUUCGGGAACUGUGAGACAGGUGCUGCAUGGCUGUCGUCAGCUCGUGUUGUGAAAUGUUGGGUUAAGUCCCGCAACGAGCGCAACCCUUAUCCUUUGUUGCCAGCGGUCCGGCCGGGAACUCAAAGGAGACUGCCAGUGAUAAACUGGAGGAAGGUGGGGAUGACGUCAAGUCAUCAUGGCCCUUACGACCAGGGCUACACACGUGCUACAAUGGCGCAUACAAAGAGAAGCGACCUCGCGAGAGCAAGCGGACCUCAUAAAGUGCGUCGUAGUCCGGACUGGAGUCUGCAACUCGACUCCAUGAAGUCGGAAUCGCUAGUAAUCGUGGAUCAGAAUGCCACGGUGAAUACGUUCCCGGGCCUUGUACACACCGCCCGUCACACCAUGGGAGUGGGUUGCAAAAGAAGUAGGUAGCUUAACCUUCGGGAGGGCGCUUACCACUUUGUGAUUCAUGACUGGGGUGAAGUCGUAACAAGGUAACCGUAGGGGAACCUGCGGUUGGAUCACCU